rnacentral:lncRNA from 1 species
AUUGUACAUGUAUGCAUGUAAUAGAGAAAUUUGAAAGUUCUUUACUCAAAUUUCCCUUUGUACUAUAAUACUACAAAAUGUUUUGUUCAAUUUUUGAGCAAAUUUAAAAUUAUUAAAAAAUCCAAAUUCUAUCUGAAUUGGCUCAGAUUUUCUUUGCAACAUAAAUACAUGUAUAUGCAUCAGGAAACCUAAUAAAAUUGAAGAAUUUUCUCCUUGUCAUUUUUGAUUCAAUUUGAUCAGUGUCCCUGUAUAUAGUACAGGGUGUUCGGCUCAAAUUUUGAGCAACUUGACGAUCCAUUAAUUGACAAGAAGCUGUAUCAGCACUAUGCCAAAUCUUGUGAGGAACCCUGACUCUAAGUAUUUGCAAUGCUAUAUAGGUUUAUAAUAAACAGUUCUUCUCUUUCCCAAUGCAUGUUUGUUUUGUUAAUAGGUACUGCAUAUUUCUGUCUCCUCAUGUUUGCGUUCCUUGCCUCCUGUCCUUGUGCAUCUUUGUCUCCUCACUCUCCUCCUCACACAGACAUACGCAUAUGUCUAACUUUUGCUCUUUCUUGUUCCUUUGCUAGGUCUCUCACAUGUCUUCUCUCUUUCUUGUGUUAACACAGUUUUAGUAUCAUACAUUGGUAUAUCACAGACAUUGUCAUUUGCUGCAGUGUGGGAACAGGAAUGUAAUAAAUGCUAAGCAAAUUGUAACAGUGGGACACAAUGUACAAUAUAGUGCUCUUGUGUACAGUGCAUGUACUGAGACUGAGAGGGAGUAUAGUGUCUUAUUGAAUCCAUGUACAUUUAAUUAUUUAGGAUAUGUCCAACAAAGUAAAAUUAGUGCUGUGUUGCAUUGGCUGAAGCAUAAUGAUGUGCCUCAAUCUUGCAAUGUACCUCUAUCUUGCAAUGGACCAAGGUACUACUGAUGUCAUCACAUAAUGGGUCUUACAUAAUCUCCUGUGCUAUGUUUCUUUCUGAGGCUUUAGGACAAAGGCGUCAAGACGACAACAAGACUAAAAACUUAUUUAUUAAAUUAUUUUUUUGUGUAAUUAUUAUUGUUCGAAUGAAAUAUUUGACACUGUGCA